GUCCCUUGGCAUUCAAAAGCGAUGAAGGACGUGCUCACAUACAAAACGCAAUUGGGAGCAGGGAACUAGAUAUAACCAGGUUCCCAAAUGAGGAACACGCUUGAAUACUAAUUCGUAUAUCCCU
rnacentral:rRNA from 11 species